GGAGGAGGCGGCGGUGGAGGCGGUGGCGGAGGAGGUGGAGGAGGUGGAGGCGGCGGUGGCGGCGAUUGCAGUUCCUCUCCCUCUCCCACUCAGGCCCCUACAUCUACGACCACGACGACCCAAUGCCCCACAACAGCACCCCCGUGCCCAACCACUGAGGAGCCCAGCACAACCGAAGAGCCCUGGACGACUGAAGAACCAACCACGACCGAUGAGCCCAUCACGACCGAUGAGCCCAUCACGACCGAUGAGCCCAUCACGACCGAAAGGGUGACCCCCGCUCCCCCUGAGGAGCCGACCACCGAGAGGGUGACCCCUGCACCCCCGACCGAGGCGACAACCGAGAGGGUGACUGCCGCUCCGGAACCCGAACCGACGACCGAAAGGGUUACGGCCGCGCCUGAACCCGAACCGACGACCGAGAGGGUGACUGCGGCUCCCGCGGAGCCUGUCACCACCGAAAGGGUCCCCCCGUUUGAGUAAACCCUUUUAACCGUGAGCGGCUGGAGAUCCACCAUGUUUGUAAUCCUCGCGCCUUUUGCACUCUUUGAUCUUUUUCUAUUGUGUUCUAUUUAAAUGUCUACUCGUUUUCUUUUCUACGACAUCUUCCAACCUAUGUGAUGCAAAAUAAAUGUUCAAACGCUCUUCAAAAAGGGUAUUUCAUUAUUGAGGAGUAUAAGUUAUUGUAUAGUAUUAAGAAUCGCUGAAAUAAAAUUUAUAAAAACCCUCAAA